UUAUUUUUGGGAGGGUCUUUA
rnacentral:siRNA from 1 species